UUCUGCUGCGUAUCUGAUAAUCUUGAGAGUUUCGCUCUUGUUGCCCAGGCUGGAGUGCAAUGGCACGAUCUUGGCUCACCACAACCUCCACCUCCCAGGCUCAAGCGAUUCUCCUUGCCUCCGCCUCCCUAAUAGCUGGGAUUACACUAUUCAAUCCAGGUUUAAGUCCUUCAGCAUCUGACAUUCUCCUGGCAACUGUAAUUCAAUCAAUGAUGACUCAUCUGAGAUGAGCAAGUUGGUCCAGUCAGACCAAACAAAAGACACUCUAUAAUCAGGGGAGAAGUCUUCUCUAUAUCUUUCUUAUAUGAGCAAAUUUAAUGACCUCCACCAUGUCUAAGAACAAGCAGCUAUUUCUGUAGAGAAAGAUCACCUUUGGAUAACAAUACAUGAUUUUAGGCUCUAAAAGUUAAAACGUGUUUGUAACGUUGAUAUUAUGCAGAGGUCUUGACAGAACUUAGCAGUCUCUGAGGCUACAGAGAAGUGUGAAAAAGAGCAUAGAGAUUUCAGAAGGAGGCAGAUUCAGUCAGACAUACUGAAUCCUGUUUGAUCUCAAUUCAGGCACACUCCAGAUGGAUGUAUUGAACAGCACACUGGAGUUUUUGUCCAGAAGUUUGACUUUAGAAGAUAAGAAAUAACUGAGCGUAUUACAAGCAGGAGUUAGAGGAAGAGACUCAGUACAGAAGAGACAGGAACAAAAGUUCACCUCCAUUAGAUGGGAAAGGAUACAGAUCAAGAGCUCAGGAAAAGUAGGAGAAAGAAGCUCUAUUCCAGAAGCAGUGUGGAGCACAAAGAAU
rnacentral:antisense_RNA from 1 species